rnacentral:rRNA from 1 species
GAUGAACGCUCGCGGGAGGCCUAACACAUGCAAGCCGAGCGGUAUGGGUAGCUUGCUACCCAGAGAGCGGCGUACGGGUGCGUAACACGUGUGCAACCUGCCCCUAUCCGGGGGAUAGCCCUCCGAAAGGAGGAUUAAUACCCCAUAAUAUAUCUGGUGGCAUCACUAGAUAUUGAAAACCCCGGUGGAUAGGGAUGGGCACGCGCAAGAUUAGAUAGUUGGCGGGGUAACGGCCCACCAAGUCGAUGAUCUUUAGGGGUCCUGAGAGGGAGAUCCCCCACACUGGUACUGAGACACGGACCAGACUCCUACGGGAGGCAGCAGUGAGGAAUAUUGGACAAUGGGUGGAAGCCUGAUCCAGCCAUCCCGCGUGAGGGACGACGGCCCUAUGGGUUGUAAACCUCUUUUGUACGGGGAUAAACCUAUCUACGUGUAGAUAGCUGAAGGUACCGUACGAAUAAGCACCGGCUAACUCCGUG